GACCCGAGGGGGGCCCCCACGCCCGCUCUGGCCUCUCAGUGCGGACGCAUCGAGCUUCGGCCCCCACCCCUGCAUUCGCGAUUGGCUCCCGGAGGAGGUGGCUGGUGCUGCCGCCGCUGCAGCAUCUCCUAGGGAGCCGCGACCCUGCGCCCGCCGCCGCUGCCGCUGUCACCAGCCCGGCCCCAGGGGUGCCCUGGGCUCCGCGUGGACGGCCUCUCAGGAGAUCCUGACCACCCUCUGGGAACCUGGACUCCUCCAAGCAUCGUCUUUCUCGCCUGCAUCUUCGGAGAGAGGUGCUGAGCCCUUCCUCAUGGAUACGGGGUCCCGGGAGGCAGCCUUCACCAGGGACCUGCCCAGGAAACCAGCAGAUGCCCAGCUGUAGCUGUGCAUUGAUGGCGCCGUGCGGCCCGGCCGCAGGUCCCGCAGCCGUGGAGAGGACCCAGCAGGUGGCGCGGGGAGAGCCCGGCUCGGCACGUGGUCAGCUCCAAGUCAGCCCUGAAAUGUCCAUUACUCACAAAGAAAAGGAAAAUGCUCAUUUGAAAGAAAUUCUUCUCUUUGUCAAUGCUGAGGCAUUCUCUCAGCCCCAGCCCCACAGUGCUCCAGUGUGUGAAGGGCAACAGCUGACGGGGAAGUUCAGCACAUCUGUGCUGACCAGGGCUGGAGGCGAUGCCAGUCCGUGCAGCUGGGAACGCCUCCUCUGCUAUGGCUGGAGCCACUGCUGAAGGGACUCCACCUGGCACCUAUGCCACCAAUGGCCCCUGAACGGGUAUCUAGGCCCACCCUUAAUAAAGAUGAGCUGCUCA
rnacentral:lncRNA from 1 species